GACGAACGCUGGCGGCGUGCUUAACACAUGCAAGUCGAACGGAAAGGCCCUGCUUUUGUGCGGUGCUCGGGUGGCGAAGGGGUGAGUAACACGUGAGUAACCUGUCCUUGACUUUGGGAUAACUUCAUGAAACUGGGGCUAAUACCGGAUAGGAGCUCCUGCUGCAUGGUGGGGGUUGGAAAGUUUCGGCGGUUGGGGAUGGACUCGCGGCUUAUCAGCUUGUUGGUGGGGUAGUGGCUUACCAAGGCUUUGACGGGUAGCCGGCCUGGGAGGGUGACCGGCCACAUUGGGACUGAGAUACGGCCCAGACUCCUACGGGAGGCAGCGGUGGGGAAUAUUGCACAAUGGGCGGAAGCCUGAUGCAGCAACGCCGCGUGCGGGAUGACGGCCUUCGGGUUGUAAACCGCUUUCGCCUGUGACGAAGCGUGAGUGACGGUAAUGGGUAAAGAAGCACCGGCUAACUACGUG
rnacentral:rRNA from 1 species